AACGAACGCUGGCGGCAGGCCUAACACAUGCAAGUCGAACGCCGUAGCAAUACGGAGUGGCAGACGGGUGAGUAACGCGUGGGAACCUACCUUACGGUCGGGAAUAGCUCAGGGAAACUUGGGGUAAUACCGGAUACGCCCUUACGGGGAAAGAUUUAUCGCCGUUAGAUGGGCCCGCGUAGGAUUAGCUAGUUGGUGAGGUAAUGGCUCACCAAGGCGACGAUCCUUAGCUGGUCUGAGAGGAUGAUCAGCCACACUGGGACUGAGACACGGCCCAGACUCCUACGGGAGGCAGCAGUGGGGAAUAUUGGACAAUGGGCGCAAGCCUGAUCCAGCCAUGCCGCGUGAGUGACGAAGGCCUUAGGGUUGUAAAGCUCUUUUGGCGGGGAAGAUAAUGACGGUACCGCAGAAUAAGCUCCGGCUAACUUCGUGCCAGCAGCCGCGGUAAU
rnacentral:rRNA from 1 species